rnacentral:rRNA from 1 species
GAGAGUUUGAUUAUGGCUCAGGAUGAACGCUGGCGGCGUGCCUAACACAUGCAAGUCGAGCGGCAGCGAGGGGUGCUUGCACCCUGUCGGCGAGCGGCGAACGGCUGAGUAACGCGUGGGAACGUGCCCUAAAGUGAGGGAUAACGCACCGAAAGGUGUGCUAAUACCGCAUAUGAUCUUCGGAUUAAAGCUUUAUGCGCUUUGGGAGCGGCCCGCGUCGGAUUAGGUUGUUGGUAGGGUAAUGGCCUACCAAGCCGACGAUCCGUAGCUGGUCUGAGAGGAUGACCAGCCAGACUGGAACUGAGACACGGUCCAGACUCCUACGGGAGGCAGCAGUGAGGAAUCUUCCACAAUGGGGGCAACCCUGAUGGAGCAACGCCGCGUGCAGGAUGAAGGCCUUCGGGUUGUAAACUGCUUUUAUAAGUGAGGAAUAUGACGGUAACUUAUGAAUAAGGAUCGGCUAACUACGUGCCAGCAGCCGCGGUCAUACGUAGGAUCCGAGCGUUAUCCGGAGUGACUGGGCGUAAAGAGUUGCGUAGGUGGUUAGUAAAGCGAAUAGUGAAAUCUGGCGGCUCAACCGUACAGGCUAUUAUUCGAACUCACUAACUCGAGAGUGGUAGAGGUUACUGGAAUUUCUAGUGUAGGAGUGAAAUCCGUAGAUAUUAGAAGGAACACCAAUGGCGUAGGCAGGUAACUGGACCAUUUCUGACACUAAGGCACGAAAGCGUGGGGAGCGAACCGGGAUUAGAUACCCGGGUAGUCCACGCCGUAAACGAUGGAUACUAGCUGUUGGAGGUAUCGACCCCUUCAGUAGCGAAGCUAACGCGUUAAGUAUCCCGCCUGUGGAGUACGGUCGCAAGACUAAAACAUAAAGGAAUUGACGGGGACCCGCACAAGCGGUGGAUCGUGUUCUUUAAUUCGAUGCUAAACGAAGACCCUUACCAGGGCUUGACAUCCAGGGAAUUUUUGGGAAACCAAUUACUGCCUUUUGACCCUGUGACAGUGAUGCAUGGCCGUCGUACUCGUGUCAUGAGAUGUUUGUUAGUCAUCCACGAGCGCACCCUGUGAAUAGUGGAUUUUCUAUCGACUGCCGUAACGGAGGAGGAGUAUUAUGCAGUCAGAUUUCCUACCUCUGGGCUAGAACACGAUACAUGGCUUAGUACAUGCAACGUAUCCGGAGUUGAUCCACAUUGCGACACUCAACGGCUGGUUCCAAGUUCUGAUAUGCAGCGUCUA